rnacentral:tRNA from 1 species
AGGGUUGUAGCUCAGUGGUAGAGCGCUCGUCUUGCAUGCGUCGGGCACUGAGUUCAAUCCUCAGCACCCAUA